GACGAACGCUGGCGGCGUGCUUAACACAUGCAAGUCGAACGAAAAGGCCCUGCUUUUGUGGGGUGCUCGAGUGGCGAACGGGUGAGUUACACGUGAGUAACCUGCCCUUGACUUUGGGAUAACUUCAGGAAACUGGGGCUAAUACCGGAUAGGAGCUCCUGCUGCAUGGUGGGGGUUGGAAAGUUUCGGCGGUUGGGGAUGGACUCGCGGCUUAUCAGCUUGUUGGUGGGGUAGUGGCUUACCAAGGCUUUGACGGGUAGCCGGCCUGAGAGGGUGACCGGCCACAUUGGGACUGAGAUACGGCCCAGACUCCUACGGGAGGCAGCAGUGGGGAAUAUUGCACAAUGGGCGGAAGCCUGAUGCAGCAACGCCGCGUGCGGGAUGACGGCCUUCGGGUUGUAAACCGCUUUCGCCUGUGACGAAGCGUGAGUGACGGUAAUGGGUAAAGAAGCACCGGCUAACUACGUG
rnacentral:rRNA from 1 species